UACGUAGGGUGCGAGCGUUGUCCGGAAUUAUUGGGCGUAAAGAGCUUGUAGGCGGUCUGUCGCGUCUGCUGUGAAAAUCCGGGGCUCAACCCCGGACUUGCAGUGGGUACGGGCAGACUAGAGUGUGGUAGGGGAGACUGGAAUUCCUGGUGUAGCGGUGAAAUGCGCAGAUAUCAGGAGGAACACCGAUGGCGAAGGCGGCAUCCUGGACCGACAUUGACGCUGAUGAGCGAAAGCUAGGGGAGCAAACGGG
rnacentral:rRNA from 1 species